rnacentral:rRNA from 1 species
UACGUAGGGUGCGAGCGUUGUUCGGAAUUACUGGGCGUAAAGGGCUCGUAGGCGGCCAACUAAGUCCGACGUGAAAUCCCCAAGCUUAACUUGGGAACUGCGUCGGAUACUGGAUGGCUUGAAUUCGGGAGAGGGAUGCAGAAUUCCAGGUGUAGCGGUGAAAUGCGUAGAUAUCUGGAGGAAUACCGGUGGCGAAGGCGGCAUCCUGGACCGACAUUGACGCUGAGGAGCGAAAGCUAGGGGAGCAAACGGG